AGCAGCCGCGGUAAUUCCAGCUCCAAUAGCGUAUAUUAAAGUUGUUGCAGUUAAAAAGCUCGUAGUUGAAUUUCGGGAUCAAUUUAUCGGUCGUGCCAACGGUAUGAACUGGUACAAUUGGUUUCUCCCUUCUGAUGAAGCACGAUGUCAUUAACUUGGUGUCGUGGGGAAUCAGGACUGUUACUUUGAAAAAUUAGAGUGUUUAAAGCAGGCCUUGGCUUGAAUACAUUAGCAUGGAAUAAUGAAAUAGGACGUUUGAUCCUAUUUCGUUGGUUUCUAGGAUCGACGUAAUGAUUAAUAGGGAUAGUUGGGGGCAUUAGUAUUCAAUUGUCAGAGGUGAAAUUCUUGGAUUUAUUGAAGACUAACUACUGCGAAAGCAUUUGCCAAGGAUGUUUUCAUUAAUCAAGAACGAAAGUUAGGGGAUCGAAGACGAUCAGAUACCGUCGUAGUCUUAACCAUAAACUAUGCCGACUAGGGAUCGGAUGAUGUUAAUUUUUAAUGACUCAUUCGGCGCCUUAAC
rnacentral:rRNA from 1 species